UCAAAUCAAUUUCGAUUUCAAAUUAGGGUUUGCAUGGUAUGCAUUGUGCAUACGUGCAGCUAGGCUUUAGGGUUUUAGGGUUUCAGUUUAGAUCAAGCAAUGAGAUUCAAAUUCAGGUUUUAGGGUUUGGAUCUAUUGCCUUAGGGUUUGGUUCUUUUUAGUUUUACCUUAACCUCAAGACGGGUUGAAUGGACCUCCAACUAGAGAAGAGCCGCGAACGGAUUGCUUUCUGAUCGCGUCGAUUAUCGAGCUGAGAUCGUCGGGUCGCGAACGGUAUCGAGCUGCUAUCGGGUCGCGAUCGUGCUGAAUGUUGAGAUCGUGUCUCGCGAACAGGCUGAGGUCGCGAGCUGGGGAACGGAUCGCGAAUGGGAAUCGGCUGAGUAUCGUGCUUAAGGUUCGUGAUCGUCGGUAGGGUUUAUCGCCGGGGAAUUAGGGUUUUAGGUCUCGGGAUUUUUAGCUUAGGGUUCUUAGAGUAAUCGUGCUGAUAACGUGUUGUGAAACUAGAGAAUAUAAUCUAUGUUUCUGUAUUAUUCAUAAACAUAAAGAGCUCUUUAUAUAUAGGAAAUUACACCGUCAUAUAAUAAUGGAAAGACUAAAGAAAGUAAAUACAAAUACGGAAAAAGUACAAAUCAUAAUUUAAUAAGGAAAAUGCAAGAUGCCGAUUCUCUCUGUCUCCUCACGAUCGACUUUCUCUCGCUCUAGCAUUGGGCCGGUUAUGGACAUCCACAAUAUAAUUUAUAACAUAUAUAUUAUAUAUAUAUAUAUAUAUAUUUUUAUUUUUUUUUUGAACCGGAUCGGAAUGCAUAUUAAUAUGAAUGGAACGUAUACUGAUAUGUGAUACAAUUAAUGGAUGAGAGACCCGUUAAUGUGAAGUUUAUUUUUGACAUAUAUUUUAGUUUUGUUCCUGUUUCUACAUAGUUUUAUAAGUUCAUCUACAUCUAUAGUCUAUAGAGGUUAUGUUUUGAUUUAAAAAAUAUGAUUAUAAUCCCUAAUGUUUAUAAAUAAAAUUAAAUAAUCCGAAGGUUUUAUCAGUUCAUAUUUUAUGGAUCCAAAAAAUGACGACAUUAUGUUGACACAUAGAACUAAUCAAUGUAAAUAAAAUAUUCAUGAAAAAAGUAAUAAACUUCUUAUAUAUUAACAUAAUUACAGACAAAAAAAAAGAAGAAGAAAAAGUCAAUUGAUUUUGCCCUAUAUAUUGACUCCAAGCUUUCUCAUAGUAUGCAACAAAAGCAAACUCAGAAUUGGUCCAAAAAAAAACGCAAAGCAAAAUGGCAAAAAUAUUCAUCAAGACUCUCUGCUUAUCAGCUCUCAUGAUGUUCCUCUUGUUUGUUUCUAGUGGAUUACCGAAGGUGAAUGGCCAGACGUCAUGUCCUGAGUUAGUGGGUGAAGGAGCUGAGAAUACAUGCUCUGAAGGUAGCAGUGAUAUACCUUGCGAUGUUAGUUGCAAGCUACUCUUCACUAUAACACAUGUUGGCUUAUGUAAACCCGAAGAUAAUGGACUUCACUGCCACUGCUACAUACCUUGUUAAAAUGGUUUACGAAUGCUCCAAAUCAAACCUUAAAAUUUGAAUAAUUUCACAUCGAUUGGUUUC